rnacentral:antisense_RNA from 1 species
GGGAAGGCGGGGCCGGAGAGGAGAGAGGAAGAGGAAGGAACGCGCCUGGCGUCACUGAGGGUGUCACCCGGGACCGCGGCUCAGGAACCCCACACGCACGGGCCUUGUGCUGUCGCUGCCGUGGCACCCCUUCUAGAAGGACUCUAUUCUCUAUAACAGAAGUGGGAGCCUUGGACAACUGAACGCCUAUCUCUAGCUCAAGAAAUGUCAGCUCUUUUUUUUUUUUUUUUUUUUGAGACUGUCACCCAGUUGGGAGUACAGUGGCGCCAUCUUGGCUCUCUGUAACCUCCACCUCCUGGGUUCAAGCGAUUCUCCUGCCUCAGCCUCCUGAGUAGCUGGGCCUACAGGUAUGCACCAUCACUCCUGGCUAAUUGUUGUAUUUUUAGUAGAUAAUGGGGUUUCACCAUGUUGGCCAGGGUGGUCUCAAACUCCUGACCUCAGGUGAUCUGCCUGCCUCGGCCUCCCAAAGUGCUGGGAUUACAGACGUGAGCCACCAUGCCCAGCCAGGAAAUGUCAAUUCUUUAUUGUAGCCUGGCUUUCCAUAUUUCUCACCAGGCUUUUUAUUCUCUAGUUUGUAAAUCACAUUUGGCGUUUGUAGAUCACUCCUUCCCUUUUAGUGGCAUUCUCUAUUAGGUGUCCAUCUCCCAAUAUGAAGAAACAGUUUUCUUCUUUUUCCUCCUUUAUUUGAUCCAUUUACAGAUUUAUUACAUUUAUAAUAGGGUAGGUAUUGGGGAUACAAAAAUGAAUAAGAUAUGGUCUGUUCUCAAAGGUAUGCAGAAACUUUUCUAUAUAUUCCUACUGACUUGUAUUUAUAUUUCUUGAAUUAAAAACAAUCCUGGCUGUGUUUUUUUUUUUUUGUUUUUUGCUCUUAGUGAAUCUUUGUUUCUUCUUUUCAUUAUGGCAUUCCAGUUGAGUUUCACCACGCAUUAUCAUGAGAAUAAAUAAUUUCACUGACUUUAAUAAUA